rnacentral:tRNA from 1 species
AGAUGUAGCCAAGCUGGUAAGGCAAUAGACUUUGAAUCUAUGUAGCAGUGGUUCGAAUCCACUCGU